rnacentral:lncRNA from 1 species
GAGAACUAUGCUGGCAGUAAACUGAACAUUAACAUAUUCGAGACCUUUUUUCUUUCUUUCUUUUUUUUUUUUUUUUUCCUAAGAUGGAGCUGAGCAGGCUUCUGAAAAAGGUUUAGGAUGUGCUUGCUUAGGUUACCAGGGAGAUGGAUUUGAGGAGGUGGACCCCUUUCUAUCUGUCUUUCUGCUGAACCCCAAAGCUCUCCUUUGCCACUUCUUAGUGCUAUGCAUAGUAAAUCUUUCUAGUCUGAGAAAUGUGCAACUCUCUGCAGACCCUGAUUACUUAAAAUAGUUCUUCAAAAAAUUGUUGCUUUGCAAUAUAACCUCUCACAUUGCUUUCAUGUUGCUGUUCUCUGUUUACUCGCAGGAAUUAUGACCUCUCUUUCUUCACACCUGGCUCAGGCAGUCCUCCUGGGAAAGAAGCAGCUGUGUGGAUGAGGCAGCUAGCAAACAAACUCAUCUGCCAUGGGAUGCUGACAAGCCUGAGGACUGAGCAGCACUGUUCAAGGAGAUGCAGGGUGCCCCAGUCAUGAUUCCCUUGUCUUCCUUCCUUAUCACUUCUUCUCAUCACGUAUCCUUUCCUAAAAGCUAGUGGAAGGUAUUAGUAAUUCAAAUGUUUUCUGCACAAGUGAAUCUUCAUUGUUUGUGCUCCAUUUUCUGUCAGAGCCAUAGGUACUCUAAAAUGAAAUAAAUUUAUGUCCAGCAGAAGUUCUCUGUAAAUGUAGAUCUAUGUUUCUGCUUCCUCAUCUCCCCGUUGAUGGGCUUUGUGGCCCUACUGUAGUAGAAAUAGUGGUAUGUACAUUUUAUAAAUGUUGAAGGACAGUGGUAUGUACAUUUUAUAAAUGUUGAGGACUCUGAGAGCUAGGUCUGGACUUGACUUUCCCCAGUUGCCUAAUUACGUUUUGAUAUGGUUCGUGCUUCAUGAUCAUUCGCUGAAAAGUUCUUGCCAAAUAUUACUUUUAAUAUAUGAUAGGAAUCUGUGGAAAAAAUUGCUCAUCUAGAAGAACACCAGAUCAUUCUAAAUUGAUCACAGCAGUUCUCAGAAUCCUUGCUUGGCAUGGCAAAGGCCAGCACACAGUGAACAUGACGUGUUCCAGCUCUGGGAGGAGUUCACAUUCCCCUGCAACACUGGCCAGCAACUUCUUUCAAUCCCUAUGUCUUCAAAGUUGGUAUUACGAGGCAGUGUCCUGUUAG